rnacentral:rRNA from 1 species
CAGUCGCCGCGGUAAUACGUAGGGUGCAAGCGUUGUCCGGAAUUAUUGGGCGUAAAGAGCUCGUAGGCGGUUUGCUACGUCGGAUGUGAAACCCUGAGGCUCAACCUCAGGCCUGCAUACGAUACGGGCUAACUAGAGUGUGGUAGGGGAGACUGGAAUUCCUGGUGUAGCGGUGAAAUGCGCAGAUAUCAGGAGGAACACCGGUGGCGAAGGCGGGUCUCUGGGCCAUUACUGACGCUGAGGAGCGAAAGCGUGGGGAGCAAACAGGAUUAGAUACCCGCGUAGUCCCUGUCUCUUAUAC